rnacentral:rRNA from 1 species
UACGAAGGGGGCUAGCGUUGCUCGGAAUCACUGGGCGUAAAGGGCGCGUAGGCGGCCAUGCGUGUCUUCCGUGAAAUCCCUCGGCUUAACUGAGGACGUGCGGAAGAAACUGCAAGGCUUGAGUCCGGGAGAGGGGGGUGGAAUUCCCAGUGUAGCGGUGAAAUGCGUAGAUAUUGGGAGGAACACCGGUGGCGAAGGCGGCCCCCUGGACCGGUACUGACGCUGAGGCGCGAAAGCGUGGGUAGCAAACGGG